UCCCUGGUGGCUCAGAUGGUAAAGUAUCUACUUGCAAUGCGGGAGACUUAGGUUCGAUUCCUGGCUCAGGAA
rnacentral:tRNA from 1 species